rnacentral:rRNA from 1 species
AUUGAACGCUGGCGGCAUGCCUUACACAUGCAAGUCGAACGGCAGCACGGACUUCGGUCUGGUGGCGAGUGGCGAACGGGUGAGUAAUGCAUCGGAAUGUGCCAUUGAGUGGGGGAUAACGUAGCGAAAGUUGCGCUAAUACCGCAUAUUCUGUGAGCAGGAAAGCAGGGGGACCGCAAGGCCUUGCGCUCUUUGAGCGGCCGAUGUCAGAUUAGCUAGUUGGUGAGGUAAAGGCUUACCAAGGCGACGAUCUGUAGCGGGUCUGAGAGGAUGAUCCGCCACACUGGAACUGAGACACGGUCCAGACUCCUACGGGAGGCAGCAGUGGGGAAUUUUGGACAAUGGGGGCAACCCUGAUCCAGCCAUGCCGCGUGAGUGAAGAAGGCC